rnacentral:rRNA from 1 species
AAUCAACGCUGGCGGCGUGCCUCAGACAUGCAAGUCGAACGAUUAAGACUCUCUUCGGAGAGUGUAUAAAGUGGCGCACGGGUGAGUAACACGUAGGUAAUGUACCGAAGGGUGGGGAAUAACUUAGGGAAACUUAAGCUAAUACCGCAUAAUGCAGCGGCUCGACAUCGAGACAGUUGUUAAAGGAGCAAACUCCGUCCUUUUGAGCAGCCUGCGGCAGAUUAGCUAGUUGGUAAGGUAAUGGCUUACCAAGGCUACGAUCUGUAACCGACCUGAGAGGGUGGUCGGUCACACUGACACUGAAUAACGGGUCAGACUCCUACGGGAGGCAGCAGUC